GGCCUAACACAUGCAAGUCGAACGAUACUUAGAGGCUUGCUUCUAAGGAAAGUGGCGCACGGGUGCGUAACGCGUAUGCAACCUACCUUAAUCAGGGGGAUAGCCCGAAGAAAUUCGGAUUAACACCGCAUAAAAACACAGGAUAGCAUUAUCCAAUGUUCAAAUAUUUAUAGGAUUAAGAUGGGCAUGCGUGUCAUUAGCUAGUUGGCGGGGUAACGGCCCACCAAGGCGACGAUGACUAGGGGAUCUGAGAGGAUGACCCCCCACACUGGUACUGAGACACGGACCAGACUCCUACGGGAGGCAGCAGUAAGGAAUAUUGGUCAAUGGAGGCAACUCUGAACCAGCCAUGCCGCGUGCAGGAAGACAGCCCUCUGGGUCGUAAACUGCUUUUAUUCGGGAAUAAACCUGCUUACGUGUAAGUAGCUGAAUGUACCGAAGGAAUAAGGA
rnacentral:rRNA from 1 species